rnacentral:pre_miRNA from 1 species
AAAGUACUCCCUCCGUCCCAAAAUUCUUGUCUUAGAUUUGUCUAGAUACGGAUGUAUCAAGUCACAUUUUAGUAUUAGAUACAUCCGUAUCUAGACAAAUCUAAGACAAGAAAUUUGGGANAUUAGAUACAUCCGUAUCUAGACAAAUCUAAGACAAGAAAUUUGGGACAGAGGGAGUAGUUG